rnacentral:tRNA from 1 species
GCGGGUGUAGCUCAAUGGUAGAGUUCUGGCCUUCCAAGCCAGCUGUGAGGGUUCGAUCCCCUUCUGUAGGUUCGAUUCCUAUCACCAGCUCCA